ACGAAAGUGGGGGGCAUCCGAAGUCGCUGAGGUAACCGCAAGGAGCCAGGCGCCUAAGAUGAACUCUGCAAUUGGGACUAAGUCGUAACAAGGUAGCCGUAGGGGAACCUGCGGCUGGAUCACCUCCUUUCUAA
rnacentral:rRNA from 1 species